rnacentral:rRNA from 1 species
GAUGAACGCUGGCGGCGUGCCUAAUACAUGCAAGUCGAGCGAACAGACGAGGAGCUUGCUCCUCUGACGUUAGCGGCGGACGGGUGAGUAACACGUGGAUAACCUACCUAUAAGACUGGGAUAACUUCGGGAAACCGGAGCUAAUACCGGAUAAUAUAUUGAACCGCAUGGUUCAAUAGUGAAAGACGGUUUUGCUGUCACUUAUAGAUGGAUCCGCGCCGCAUUAGCUAGUUGGUAAGGUAACGGCUUACCAAGGCAACGAUGCGUAGCCGACCUGAGAGGGUGAUCGGCCACACUGGAACUGAGACACGGUCAAGACUCCUACGGGAGGCAGCAGUAGGGAAUCGUCCGCAAUGGGCGAAAGCCUGACGGAGCAACGCCGAGUGAGUGAUGAAGGUCUUCGGAGCGGAAAGCUCUGUUAUUGGGGAAGAACAAAUGUGUAAGUAACUAUGCACGUCUUGACGGUACCUAAUCAGAAAGCCACGGCUAACUACGUG